AACAGGAUUAGAUACCCUGGUAGUCCACGCCCUAAACGAUGUCAACUAGUUGUCGGGUCUUAAUUGACUUGGUAACGCAGCUAACGCGUGAAGUUGACCGCCUGGGGAGUACGGUCGCAAGAUUAAAACUCAAAGGAAUUGACGGGGACCCGCACAAGCGGUGGAUGAUGUGGAUUAAUUCGAUGCAACGCGAAAAACCUUACCUACCCUUGACAUGGUCGGAAUCCCUGAGAGAUCAGGGAGUGCUCGAAAGAGAACCGGCGCACAGGUGCUGCAUGGCUGUCGUCAGCUCGUGUCGUGAGAUGUUGGGUUAAGUCCCGCAACGAGCGCAACCCUUGUCAUUAGUUGCUACGAAAGGGCACUCUAAUGAGACUGCCGGUGACAAACCGGAGGAAGGUGGGGAUGACGUCAAGUCCUCAUGGCCCUUAUGGGUAGGGCUUCACACGUCAUACAAUGGUACAUACAGAGGGCUGCCAACCCGCGAGGGGGAGCUAAUCCCAGAAAGUGUAUCGUAGUCCGGAUUGCAGUCUGCAACUCGACUGCAUGAAGUUGGAAUCGCUAGUAAUCGCGGAUCAGCAUGUCGCGGUGAAUACGUUCCCGGGUCUUGUACACACCGCCCGUCACACCAUGGGGGCGGGUUUUACCAGAAGUGGGUAGCCUAACCGCAAGGAGGGCGCUUACCACGGUAGGAUUCGUGACUGGGGUGAAGUCGUAACAAGGUAACC
rnacentral:rRNA from 1 species